GGCAAUUUGGCCGAGUGGUUAAGGCGUGAGAUUAGAAAUCUCUUGGGCUCAGCCCGCGCAGGUUCGAAUCCUGCAGUUGUCG
rnacentral:tRNA from 1 species